rnacentral:rRNA from 1 species
UACGUAGGGUCCGAGCGUUGUCCGGAAUUACUGGGCGUAAAGAGCUCGUAGGUGGUUUGUCGCGUUGUCCGUGAAAACUCACAGCUCAACUGUGGGCGUGCGGGCGAUACGGGCAGACUGGAGUACUGCAGGGGAGACUGGAAUUCCUGGUGUAGCGGUGGAAGUGCGCAGAUAUCAGGAGGAACACCGGUGGCGAAGGCGGGUCUCUGGGCAGUAACUGACGCUGAGGAGCGAAAGCGUGGGGAGCGAACAGG